rnacentral:lncRNA from 1 species
GUGGGGCAGGACAGGCCUGGGAAGAUAAGGAGCACAGGGUUGAGAAGGCAGGAAGAGAGUUGAAGGAACCACUGAAAGUGAGAGAGAAUGUUGUCCUGCGAUUUACUUCAGUGUCCAGCCCAGGUGAACCUUGGAGUGGAAAAGUGGGAACUGUGACUACCCCAUGUUCGUCAUUGCACAUCUCCAAGUUCAAAAUGAAGGUCAGACUGGAAAGGAAUAGAAGUAUUCUUUCCUCCUUCCUCCCAAGAGUUUUGCUUCGUACAGCUCAAAACAAAUACAGGUUCAGGAUUAUGAAAUCCCUCGGAGGAGUAAGAUGACUGCAACAAAUGUCACGAAGGAAGAUGAAUAACAAAACCAAAUAAAUGGAUUCAAC